rnacentral:rRNA from 1 species
GUCUUCUGCCAAAUCACCCUGAAAGCGCCCAAUCUUGUCUGAUCUCAGAAGCUAAACAGGGACGGGCCUGCUUCAUAUUUGGAUGGGAGACCGCCUGGGCAUAGUGGGUGCUGUUGGCU